GCUGUGCGGGCUACCAUUCCCCACUCCUCCCCAGGGCUCCUCCUUCCCUCUGGGCCUGAGAGCUAUGCCCUGACCCCAGAGUGCUGGCGGGGGACCGCGGUCAUCCAAGCUCAGCGCGCCUCGUGACUUGGCCGCUGGGCACCUGGCAGCGAAUUUAUUUAUCUUCAGCUUCUUCGGUGUGGGCGCCUGGUGCUUACGAUUUCGCAUCGAUUGUGACCUGACACGAGCCUCCCGAGGUCAAGUAUGGUAUUCACCGAUUACAACCAAGUCCUGUGUAAUGGAGCUACAGCUAAGACUGAAUUCGUCUAGAAAGCAGAGUCAGGGCAGCCUGCUGGAAUAUUUUGAGAGGCCUGUAACCUUUGGCUGACACCCAGCAAGGCUAUUAGUUUAACCAUGGGAUGCACUACCAAACGCGUAAGAGUCAGGGAACUUCUUUUCUGGAAAGUUGAUUGUAGGAAUGGUUUGGUUAAAGAGCCCUCAGAAACAGAUGGAAUGGGUGAAAGGGGAAAAAAAGACAAGCAUAAAAAAACUUGACUUCCGUCGGUUGGCAUAAUUGCAGCUUCUAGUGUCUUUUCAACCAUAUGCUCAAGAUGGAAACUGCAGUUCACAUUUAAAUGUCACGCUGCCCUCUGUUCCAUAAACAUGUAUCAUCCACCACUAAAUAUUUAGAUCUGAAUUGUUGGAACUCAGUUCUGUGCCAGGGGUAGGGGGAUUAAUUCCUCUCAAGGUCCUCACAUGAUGGAUCUUCCGCUGAAGUAAACAUCCGAGAAGAGCUCACACUAAAGCCAUAAAAUAUAUAAAUAAAGUUUAAAGUUUAAUUAAGUCAA